UACGGAAGGGGCAAGCGUUGUUCGGAAUUAUUGGGCGUAAAGGGCGCGUAGGUGGUCUUGUAUGUCUACCGUGAAAGCACACGGCUUAACCGUGUAGAGUCGGUGGAAACUGCAGGACUUGAGGUUGGGAGGGGCUGGUGGAAUUCCCUGUGUAGCGGUGAAAUGCGUAGAGAUGGGGGAGAACACUUGUGGCGAAGGCGGCCAGCUGGACCAAUUCUGACACUGAGGAACGAAAGCCAGGGGAGCAAACGGG
rnacentral:rRNA from 1 species